rnacentral:lncRNA from 1 species
GCCUGGCUAAGCCUCCCUGGCGCCCAGCAGGGGCCUGCGCUGCCCUAGCGGCCUCGCCGUUAACCAUUUCAUCCACACUCCUGGGAGAGCCGGCUUCACCUCAGUCCCGACAGCUGCGUGCGAGCGCCUUGCAGGUUCUAAUUUAAUUGCAUUGUUGUCAGAGAACAAGUCUGUAUUCAGUCAAGAUCCUGGCAGGAAGCAGAUGGCACACUCAAAUUGGCAAUUACUGUUAUAUCAAGACUAAGCUUUGCUGCCUGUUCCCUGACUGCUCCUCAUCAAAGACAGAGUCUGAGAUACCAGUGCUGGCCCCUCCGUCCCACUCAAGACCCCUCCGACGGGCAGCUUUAUCAGGGACACCCAUCAGCUUGGCCGAAAGCUUCUGGGAGGGGGACUGCAGUCUGAGACUCUUCCUACCCAAGCCCCUUCCUUCCCUGUCUCUUUUGCAGGCCUCAGACCUGCCUCAGGAUCUGAAGCUCUUCUGCCUGCACCUGCUCCCUCCCCUCUAUCCUGCAUGGGCUUACUCCCAAUCACCACUCGCCCCUCCUCUAAUGCCACAGAGACAUGGACUGACAUGGAUCCCCGGGGAGCAUGUUUUUCUCUCCAGCUGGCCAUAUUCCUUGGGCGUCGAGUGACUCUGGCCUAGCCCACAGAGGAGCCACUUCCCUACCUUGUGCUGCAUCAUGCUGUAGCAUCUGAGAGGAGGCUCUCUGGACAGCUCUCUGUUGUCUCCAGGGCCGUCCCACCCAGGAGGACCUCGCAGCUCCCUAACAGUCCCCGUGAUGGCUUCCUGUGGUCCAGGCCAUCCCAAGACGGGCAGGAGAGCAGGACUAAACUGUGUCUCUCCUGCCCGUCCCCCUUGCCCUGGCUGCAGCCUCCACCCACUUCACAGACCUCAUCUAUUUUUCCAGUGGGAAAAGGCCCAGUAACAGAACAUGCGGGGCCCAGUGCAAAAUGAAAUAAAGCCGCCUUGUUCAAAAGCCUGGCAAAGUGCAGUUAAAGGUGCUAAAUAUACAAACCUCUUCCUCCAUUCCCCAGGCUCUCUUGAUUAGCCAUGGUGUUUUCUUGCUAUUUAAUGCCAUUCUAAGUAAAGAAAAUUAA